GAUGAACGCUGGCGGCGUGCUUAACACAUGCAAGUCGAACGGUGAAGGCGGAGCUUGCUCUGCUGGAUCAGUGGCGAACGGGUGAGUAACACGUGAGCAAUCUGCCCCUGACUCUGGGAUAAGCGCUGGAAACGGCGUCUAAUACUGGAUACGAGCUGCGAAGGCAUCUUCAGCAGCUGGAAAGAAUUUCGGUCAGGGAUGAGCUCGCGGCCUAUCAGCUUGUUGGUGAGGUAAUGGCUCACCAAGGCGUCGACGGGUAGCCGGCCUGAGAGGGUGACCGGCCACACUGGGACUGAGACACGGCCCAGACUCCUACGGGAGGCAGCAGUGGGGAAUAUUGCACAAUGGGCGAAAGCCUGAUGCAGUAACGCCGCGUGAGGGACGACGGCCUUCGGGUUGUAAACCUCUUUUAGCAGGGAAGAAGCGAAAGUGACGGUACCUGCAGAAAAAGCGCCGGCUAACUACGUG
rnacentral:rRNA from 1 species